UACGUAGGGGGCAAGCGUUGUCCGGAGUUACUGGGCGUAAAGCGCACGCAGGCGGUCUCUUAAGUUUGGAGUGACAGUUGGUGGCUUAACUGCCAAAGUGCUUCGAAAACUGAGAGACUUGAGGGCUUCAGAGGGACACGGAAUUCCGGGUGGAGUGGUGAAAUGCGUAGAGAUCCGGAGGAACACCAAAGGCGAAGGCAGUGCCCUGGGGAGUACCUGACGCUCAGGUGCGAAAGCCAGGGGAGCGAACGGG
rnacentral:rRNA from 1 species